rnacentral:lncRNA from 1 species
UUCACAUGAUAGGAGGCAAGCAAUGUAGCAUCCGGAGCAUGCAGUGUUACCCAGUCAGGUAAUCUAUAUUUUCGUCGAAGCCUCCGCACCAUGUCGACCCGGUUUACGCGAGAUACCGGAUUCUUGUCGCUAAGAAAUGAGUGCAUAGGAAUAGUAUCCAAUAUAGGUCCUUCACUGUCAACCCCGAAACCCGAACUCCCAGAUGUCCCCGGACAGAUGGAACUACCAUCUCGCAGCUGAUUAUACGGGAUACCCGAAGGAAUCUCCACACCAUCGUCAUCUUCAUCAUCUACUAAAUGUGACAUCCCGGUAGCGGAACCUGUCGACCGUCCCCGAUUCCGCGACAUAGUAACUCGACCCUAAAUUACGACAACGUCUGAGUUCGAUCAAUUCAGACCAUCCAGACCCAACUCGUCGCAAACCAAGUAUACAUCACCGGCGAUAUAACUAGAAUGGCACACAGGUGCUCACUAGAACAAUUAGGUCCACCCGUACCACCCAGACGACCCAGAUCACCCAAUAAAGUAAUUUUAAACAAUACAUUUUUUAGCUAAGUAUACCCGGACAAACACCAUAUAUGCCAACAACAAAAUACAUAUGGAUCAAACUACUCCCUACAAAAACAAUAGAUCGAAGCUAUCCUAAGGCAAAACAUAACAUGCAUACAUAAAAUCAUGCUCGAAGAUAUGCGAAGAACGCUCGAAGAACAGUAGAGAGAAAACCAACCUUCCCGAAGCCUUCAGAAUUGCUCUCUCUACUCUUGAUCCCUCCAAGCUCCAAGAUCUCCAAUUGCUUUCAAAGUGUUUGUGAAAAAGAAAGACAAGUUCCCCAUUAUAUAGAUAAACGAGGGCUCGGAUUUGCGACACUUGUCAAUCAUCUAAACAACCCGCAAGAAUUAAGUUUUUCUAAAAAACCGCAGACAUGUAG